AAGAUGGCGGCGCCCUGGUGGCGAGCCGCGCUGUGCGAGUGUCGGAGAUGGCGGGGCUUCAGCACCUCGGUGACAUCGACUUGAGCAACCUGGAGCGGCUGGAGAAGUACCGGAGCUUCGACCGCUACCGGCGCCGGGCAGAGCAGGAGGCGCAGGCCCCGCACUGGUGGCGGACCUACCGAGAGUAUUUCGGGGAGAAGACAGAUCCCAAAGAGAAGAUUGAUAUUGGGCUGCCUCCACCCAAAGUCUCCCGGACCCAACAGCUACUGGAACGGAAACAGGCCAUCCGGGAGCUUCGGGCCAAUGUGGAAGAGGAGCGGGCUGCCCGCCUCCGCACAGCCAGUGUCCCGCUGGAUGCCGUGCGGGCCGAGUGGGAGAGGACCUGUGGCCCCUACCACAAGCAGCGUCUGGCUGAGUAUUACGGCCUCUACCGAGACCUGUUCCAUGGUGCCACCUUUGUGCCCCGAGUCCCCCUGCACGUGGCCUACGCUGUGGGUGAGGACGACCUGAUGCCCGUGUACUGUGGCAAUGAGGUGACUCCAACCGAGGCUGCCCAAGCGCCAGAGGUGACCUAUGAGGC
rnacentral:sRNA from 1 species